GUUACAGGUGAUAAAAUCCAAAUCAGACUAGCUUGAGCAAAGAAUUUGCUUUUCUUGGCUUACACGAUCAAAGUUCAGGAAGAGCAAAACGAAAAUGCCAUCAGAACUCACCUUCCGGCGCCUCACACCUCUGCUUUUUCUCUCAAACCAACUUCACGUGUGGAAGAGCAGCCAGCACAUGCCCUAAGUCUUAGGAUGGGAGAGUUCCACUUUGGAAAAGCCUGGAAGGAAGACUCCAGAGCAAGUACCUAAGGUAGCAGCCAGAGGAAGGGUCCUGGGCGGGUCCUCCACGCUUCUGCCCCCGGACCUGUUCAGCAAACGUGCCACCUCUGAAAAGUUGGGCUCUUCUGAGUUUCCUGCAGAAGCUGACCUUCCACGGGACAGACGUCUGCUCGAGAGGAAAGCAAAGGAAUGUGUUGGGAAAGUGGGUAAAUGAAAGCCUGGAAAUUAAUUUUAGAUACCAUUUUCUCCAACCGUGAAUCUUUUUUUUUAGAGUCACAUAAAAACUGCCUAGGUUUGAGGGGGAGCCAUCAAGUUUCUCAAAGGCCCUACAUGAUCUGCAAACCCAGUCUUCGUGUGAAAAUGGUGUCCCAGAUGCUGGUCACCCAUCUGCCUUCUCACCUCAAUCCCACUUUCGCAUCUGUGAUGUGCAGACAAACUAAAAACCUGUUCUUUGCCAUGGGUCUUUGAUUUCUUUAAAAGUAAGAAAAUUGUUUUAAAGCAAGACAUUUUUAGGAACAGCUUUGUCUCUGGAAUCUAAACCCCUGGCAUUCCACAGUAGAAUCUCACCACCGUUCAGUGUGCUGGCAGCCAUGUCUCUACCUUAGUUCUGCAGUUUCCGCUGGAGGAUCAGACUAAGACACCGGCAAGGGAUCGUGGUGGCCACUGUCACCCACAGAGUCUGAGCCCAGGCAUUUCUAACACACAGGGAGCAGUGAGCUGCUGCUCUUUCACAUUUCGCAGAUGAGGAAAUGAAGGCAGAGUUGAAAUAACUUGCCCGAGAGUACCCAGCUACCAAGCGGUGACUCCAGAUUCAAGCCCAAGGGUUCUGACUCCAAAGAAUAGAGACCCUGCCCAACUGAGAGCACUUGACUGUAACUCUGGUUCUAAAGCACUUCAGUCUUGGAAUGCGGGCACCCCAGGACCCAGGACUCAUGGAACAAUAAAAUCAUGGAGGUGGUCUCCUGGCCUCUUCUCCAUUUCUUGGUUUGGUUCUCACCUUGUCCUGGCCCUGAUUUCCCUGUACCUCUUGGAUUAAAGCAAGGCUCUGGCGGCCUGUUCACGCACUACUGUUCUCCAGCAGCUCCCCUUUGGCUCCAUCCCGCCAGUGCUGAAUAUUGUACACCUCUUUAUCUAUUUUCACAU